GCGGUCGUGAUGGAAUGGCAGACAUGUCGGGUUUAGGUCCCGGUGGGAGAAAUCCCGUGAGGGUUCGAAUCCCUCCGACCGCA
rnacentral:tRNA from 1 species